UACGUAGGUGGCAAGCGUUGUCCGGAUUUACUGGGCGUAAAGAGCGCGCAGGCGGUCGUUCAAGUCGAGUGUGAAAGCCCCCGGCUCAACUGGGGAGGGUCACUCGAUACUGAUCGACUCGAAGGCAGGAGAGGGUAGUGGAAUUCCCGGUGUAGUGGUGAAAUGCGUAGAUAUCGGGAGGAACACCAGUGGCGAAGGCGACUACCUGGCCUGUUCUUGACGCUGAGGCGCGAAAGCUAGGGGAGCAAACGGGG
rnacentral:rRNA from 1 species